UACGAAAGGGGCUAGCGUUGUUCGGAAUUACUGGGCGUAAAGCGCACGUAGGCGGCCUUGUAAGAUGGGGGUGAAAUCCCCGGGCUCAACCCGGGAACUGCCUUCAUGACUGCAAAGCUAGAGGAUGCGAGAGGUUAGCGGAAUUCCGAGUGUAGAGGUGAAAUUCGUAGAUAUUCGGAAGAACACCAGUGGCGAAGGCGGCUAACUGGCGCAUUUCUGACGCUGAGGUGCGAAAGCGUGGGGAGCAAACAGG
rnacentral:rRNA from 2 species